UCUUUUCUUUUCCCUUCUGCCUUCUAGAAUGGGGACAUAAUGCUAAGCUUCCUCAGUCACUUGGGACCAUGAGAUGACUUUGAAGAAGAAUGCAAGGUGACGAAUAAAAAUGGUGGAAAGAUCGGCAUCCGAACCACCAAUGGUUUGAAAAGAUGUCAGCUGAAUACGCAAGUCUAAGUAGCCAUGGGGUGCCUUCUGCCACAGGCCUUCGAGAACCGCAGAAGAAGCUGGGAGGUCCAUCCGGGAGUCAUCGGAGCACCGGGACCAGAAAGGUGACCCCUGAGGGAGCCCAUAGAGGACUUCAGUGACAACAUGGAUGUGUGAAAACUCUUUCACACACAUGGAGCCAGGUGCUGGCUGUGUGGAGGAGCCUGCAUGGGGCCAAGUGGUGUGAGUUGCAGUCUGCAGACAGCGCCCUGGUGACCUUGACAAGCAAGGCCACUACUGAGAACCAGGCAGGAAACUCUCUUUGUUGGUAAGAAGUCUACGCCUUGGUUUCUAUGAGGAUCUUCUGUUUGGGGGAGCAACACCAGCCAUCUGGGGGACAUGGGGCUUCAGCCGGCUCUGCUCCAGGGAUCCAACAGUCAACAAAGCCAAUGAGGCACCCCAGAGGUCAGAAGCUGAAAACAGAUACCCACAGCCAGUUCUUCACAAACAAGAGGUUUUAUUUUUAUGCUGUACCCCCACCCUCUGCCAAAUAAGUGGGGAGGGUUCUGAAAGGGCUGAUUUUGUAGUCGAGAGCCACUGAGGGCAAGUGAAGCUGUGAAGUGCCUGGCACAUGGGAGCAAAGGAAGAAGGACCGCGGUGUCUGGGGAGUGCCCCACCUGUGCUAGACACCUCCCAGGGUUCUGCAGGAGGGAGUGAACCCAGACCCACACUGCACAGGGGAUCUGUCCCUCUGUGGGCCCAAGGGCAGAAAGAAGACAUCCUAAGAGAUUUGCGAAAGUAUCUUCCCCUUGGUGGCCGGGCCCCACCUCAUUGCCCUCAGUAAUUCCUGUCGUACCCUGUCAGGAUGGUCAGCUAUCAUCCAUCUCUCCAGCCAAAAGACCCAGCCCUAGUCGGCUCCUGGGAGAUGUUUCCAGACAACAUUACAUUCUUAAGGAGCCUGUCUCCUUUGAUUAACAAAACCUUUUAGUUUUCUUCUGAAUUCUAUAUAGACAGCCAGAACAUGUGCCCCACUGAAGGCAAGGGUGGGGAAGGGUGUUCCCUGGUGCCCUGGUCUCUUGGGUCUGAGCUUUGCCAGCAAGGUCACUAUUACCCCCAGAUGACUCUGGGUCUUGGCCAAACCAGUAAGUGUUCACUCAGAUGACAGCUCCCUCCCCAUUUAGGCCGUUCAGUAGCUUUCUAGUUGCUCUCCAGACACAACCUAAAAGGUUCAACGAGGCUGACCCCUUGGGUUCUGGCCUGGGCACUGAACCUUUGAGCAUGUGCCUGAAAGCAGGGCCACUUCCCCCACUGAUAAUCUCAGGGUGGAUAGCAUAGCCUGGACCAGACAGACUCUAACCCUCUGUCCCAGGGUCGCAGUCCUCCAUACUGCAAGAAAGAAUGCUAAAAGGCAGACUUCUGGCUGACAAACUGGAAACCUGUCAGAGAGACCAAGGAAGGACAUGGGGUUGGGAUCAAAAAGCCAUGCAGUGGGCUUACCAUCAUGCUGGUGCCUGCCACCCCAAAUAAAGACAGAGAGCGUGUUGUCCAGAAGCCAGAGAGCAAGGGGGUGGGAUUGUCGAGUAGCAGAAGGCAUCUCUGUUUGAGUGCGGCUGCAGCGGGACUGUCAGUUUCCACAGCCUGCAAGAUGCCCCCUGACACCUGGAGGGGUUGCCAGCCAUCUCCCUCCUUCUCUUUGACUGGGUAUCAGCAGCUGUUCCUGCAGCUCCCAGCACAGUCCUGAGGUCAAGAUACACCAGUCGCAUGGCUAUCUAGUGUGAACAGCGCUCCCUGGUGUUAUGAAAGUCGAGGGCCUUGACUACAUUUCCUCAAGCAGGCCCCCAUGACCCUCCUGACCAGUCCAAGUCCCUCUUGAAGCUACAGGACCCCUCUUGGAUGUUGGAGAGUAACUGGUCAGAUCUCUUCACCCCCUGCCCCCCAGACAAGAAGAUCUAUUAGGGCAGAGCGAAGAUGUGUUCUCUGGUGGUUAAGUGUUUCACUUCUAUAUCUCCACUUGAUUGCCCAUGUCUGGCCACAGAGGAGAUACUCAAUAAAUGUUGAAUGAAUGAACACAUUCCCAUCCCUCCACUCCUGCCCCCUACCAUUGCAGGCCUGCCACCCACCCUGAGCUCCUGAAGCUCUGAGUCCAUCUGGGAGGCAUCAGUUAUCUCUAUGUUAGCCCUUUUUCUCUCUUAGGAACAGUUGGCGCUGAAUCAUUCUGCCUGGAGAUAAAGACUCCCCAAGGCCACUUCCCUGCAUGUGGGACUUCCAGAAUGCCUGGGAGAAAUCGGCAGUCCUGCCUGCCCAGCUGCCGCAUGUGGACACAUCUUUUUCCUGUUUGAGCUUUCCUUGGUGCUCAUUAUAACCCAAAUCCAGGAAUCUAAAGCUGUGGGCUGAGUGAGGAUGAGCAGGGAAAGGGGGUCAGGGAGGCAGGCAUGCAGGGUGUCAUGGCCAGUGGGUAUGCUGCUGGUGAUGCAUGGCUGUGUCCCUGUUCCACACUUCCUCCCCUGAACCAAUGGCCCUCAGCUAGGAAUCCAGUAUUUCAUGAAUAUUGCUUCUGUAAACGGAAAUCCUGUUUUUCCAUCCCCUUCUAUCAUCACACAUCAAAAUGAAUUCUCAUAUAGAAAGGUUCUGUUCCUAAGAUAAAAUACAAAUCACAACAAUAAUGUAUCAAGUAUAUUUUAAUCAUAUCUUUGGAAAACUAGAUGCUUUUGAUAAAAAUUAAUUAAAAUCACUCUCUAUAUACACAUAGUACCAAAAUUUUAAGGUAUUGCUAAAUCCUGUCUUCCUUUGGGAUGAGUGUCCCUUAUCUCAAGUGGCAGGAAAAUAAAGAAAAUAUUUUCUUUUAAAUCCCGACAGUUGUAACUGUCUCUUCUUAAAUCUUUGAUCUGUUGUGGUUGUUUAUUAUAUAGUUCAGAUUCAGGAAGA